GUUGGUCAGUGAGUUAUCUUCCCAGUUAUAGGUAGUGUUAUAGUGUUGGUCAGUGAGUUAUCUUCCCAGUUAUAGGUAGUGUUAUAGUGUUGGUCAGUGAGUUAUCUUCCCAGUUAUAGGUAGUGUUAUAGUGUUGGUCAGUGAGUUAUCUUCCCAGUUAUAGGUAGUGUUAUAGUGUUGGUCAGUGAGUUAUCUUCCCAGUUAUAGGUAGUGUUAUAGUGUUGGUCAGUGAGUUAUCUUCCCAGUUAUAGGUAGUGUUAUAGUGUUGGUCAGUGAGUUAUCUUCCCAGUUAUAGGUAGUGUUAUAGUGUUGGUCAGUGAGUUAUCUUCCCAGUUAUAGGUAGUGUUAUAGUGUUGGUCAGUGAGUUAUCUUCCCAGUUAUAGGUAGUGUUAUAGUGUUGGUCAGUGAGUUAUCUUCCCAGUUAUAGGUAGUGUUAUAGUGUUGGUCAGUGAGUUAUCUUCCCAGUUAUAGGUAGUGUUAUAGUGUUGGUCAGUGAGUUAUCUUCCCAGUUAUAGGUAGUGUUAUAGUGUUGGUCAGUGAGUUAUCUUCCCAGUUAUAGGUAGUGUUAUAGUGUUGGUCAGUGAGUUAUCUUCCCAGUUAUAGGUAGUGUUAUAGUGUUGGUCAGUGAGUUAUCUUCCCAGUUAUAGGUAGUGUUGGUCAGUGAGUUAUCUUCCCAGUUAUAGGUAGUGUUAUAGUGUUGGUCAGUGAGUUAUCUUCCCAGUUAUAGGUAGUGUUAUAGUGUUGGUCAGUGAGUUAUCUUCCCAGUUAUAGGUAGUGUUAUAGUGUUGGUCAGUGAGUUAUCUUCCCAGUUAUAGGUAGUGUUAUAGUGUUGGUCAGUGAGUUAUCUUCCCAGUUAUAGGUAGUGUUAUAGUGUUGGUCAGUGAGUUAUCUUCCCAGUUAUAGGUAGUGUUAUAGUGUUGGUCAGUGAGUUAUCUUCCCAGUUAUAGGUAGUGUUAUAGUGUUGGUCAGUGAGUUAUCUUCCCAGUUAUAGGUAGUGUUAUAGUGUUGGUCAGUGAGUUAUCUUCCCAGUUAUAGGUAGUGUUAUAGUGUUGGUCAGUGAGUUAUCUUCCCAGUUAUAGGUAGUGUUAUAGUGUUGGUCAGUGAGUUAUCUUCCCAGUUAUAGGUAGUGUUAUAGUGUUGGUCAGUGAGUUAUCUUCCCAGUUAUAGGUAGUGUUAUAGUGUUGGUCAGUGAGUUAUCUUCCCAGUUAUAGGUAGUGUUAUAGUGUUGGUCAGUAAUGGUGAGUGACUGCUUCCAACAAGGGCACAAAACUCAAGCUGCCUUUGCAAAGCCCCAAAAAGCUUGUUUUAUUUAAAGGGGCAGUGUUGUAUUUUACGACAGUCUUGAAUUUGUAAAUAAGGUAAUAGGCAGAGGGGUAGCCAACAUUGUCUACUUCUCUGUUUGGUUAUAAUACUUCAUUGUAUUAGGUAAAGUGGUUUCUUGCGUCAUACAACACAAUAUAAUGCAUAUUUAGUCUCCAUCGUGUUACAGACCAAGUAAAACAUCAUUCAUUCUUGUCAAGCCCUAAGUAAUAUAAAACCGUUUUUAAAAAGUCUCCUGUAAUGUCGGCCUGAAUUGAACACUACAUAUGGGAUACUAUGUGGAAAUGUUAUGUGAUUUUCUUCAUGGGUUUUGUUGGUCGGCCUACAUUAUUAC